rnacentral:rRNA from 1 species
AAGUUUUCGGACGGACGCGGAUAUAACUUAGUGGCGAACGGGUGAGUAACACGUGAGCAACCUACCCUUCAGAGGGGGACAACAGUUGGAAACGACUGCUAAUACCGCAUAAGACCACGGUGUGGCAUCACACAGAGGUCAAAGGAGAAAUCCGCUGAAGGAUGGGCUCGCGUCCAAUUAGCUAGAUGGUGAGGUAACGGCCCACCAUGGCGACGAUUGGUAGCCGGACUGAGAGGUUGAUCGGCCACAUUGGGACUGAGACACGGCCCAGACUCC